rnacentral:rRNA from 1 species
UACGUAGGGGGCGAGCGUUGUCCGGAGUUACUGGGCGUAAAGCGCUUGUAGGCGGUCCACCAAGUUUGGGGUGACAGUUGCCGACUUAAUCGGCAAAGUGCCUCAAAGACUGGCGGACUUGAGGGCCACAGAGGGACAUGGAACUCCAGGUGUAGUGGUGAAAUGCGUAGAUAUCUGGAAGAACACCAAGGGCGAAGGCAGUGUCCUGGGUGGUCGCUGACGCUGAGAGGCGAAAGCCAGGGGAGCGAACGGG